GAUGAAGAACGCAGCGAAAUGCGAUACUUGGUGUGAAUUGCAGAAUCCCGUGAACCAUCGAGUCUUUGAACGCAAGUUGCGCCCGAAGCCGUCAGGCCGAGGGCACGCCUGCCUGGGCGUCACACGCCGUUGCCCCCCCGCGCCCCGCACCCAACUCUUUGGGAGCGACCGCGGGGCGGGCUGAUGAUGGCCUCCCGUGCGCUCCGCCGCGCGGUUGGCCCAAAUACCGAGUCCCCGGCGACGUGCGCCACGACGAGCGGUGGUUGAGAGACCUCUGUCGCAAGUCGUGCGCGCCCGUCGCGUCACGCGGGCUCGCAUAGCGCCUCGCGCCGCACCCGGUGCGGAGCUUUCAACGCGACCCCAGGUCAGGCGGGGUUACCCGCUGAAUUUAAGCAUAUCAAUAAGCGGAGG
rnacentral:misc_RNA from 1 species